rnacentral:sRNA from 1 species
GGAAUUCGUGAGACCAAUAGAGAUAUUCCAAGUAAGAUAAGGAUUAUUUAAAGGACUUGAGGAGAUAGAUAUAGGAUGAAUGAGUUAUCAAGUCUUCUAAUGUGAAUUGGAGGCUCAGAAAAAUUAGGGAUGAGGGUGGCAAGGGUGAGAGUAGAGCAGGGUACAGAAGAGAACUUGGGAGAUUCUAGGAGGGUGACAUGAAUUAGUUGGAUUUGAGAAGGCGAUAGAAGGGCUGUGACCUUGUGUGAGAGUAAGUUCUUAACGUCACGUGGUGAGCAAAUGAUCAUGGGCUUCCUUUGCUUUCUUGAGUGAAAAAAUGUAGCUG